UACGUAGGGGGCGAGCGUUGUCCGGAUUUAUUGGGCGUAAAGAGCUCGUAGGCGGCUUGGCAAGUCGGGUGUGAAACCUCCAGGCUCAACCUGGAGACGCCACUCGAUACUGCCAUGGCUAGAGUCCGGUAGGGGACCACGGAAUUCCUGGUGUAGCGGUGAAAUGCGCAGAUAUCAGGAGGAACACCGGUGGCGAAGGCGGCGCUCUGGGCCGGAACUGACGCUGAGGAGCGAAAGCGUGGGUAGCAAACAGG
rnacentral:rRNA from 1 species